UUGAUUUUAAAUUCCAUGGCAUCAACACAACUCAAAAAAGUUGGGACAAGGCCAUGUUUACCACUGUGUGGCAUCCCCUCUUCUUUUUAUAACAGUCUGCAAACGUCUGGGGACUGAGGAGACAAGUUGCUCAAGUUUAGGAAUAGGAAUGUUGUCCCAUUCUUGUCUAAUACAGGCUUCUAGUUGCUCAACUGUCUUAGGUCAUCUUCGUCGUAUCUUCCUCUUUAUGAUGUGCCAAAUGUUUUCUAUGGGUGAAAGAUCUGGACUGCAGGCUGGCCAUUUCAGUACCCUGAUCCUUCUAUGCAGCCAAGAUGUUGUAAUUGAUGCAGUAUGUGGUCUGGCAUUUUCAUUUUAAAUGAGCCUUGGCCCAGAGAAAACGCCUGCGCUUCUGGAUCAUGUUUAGAUAUGGCUUCUGUUUUGACCUACAGAAUUUUAGCUGGCAACGGUGAAUGGCACGAUGGAUUCAUUCCUGUAUGUGAUGCAAUGCUGUCUAAGGGCCCGAAGAUCACAGGCAUCCAGUAUGGUUUUCC